AAAAUGAGCACAAACAAAUCAUAUAGGGUUAUGGUUUAUUUCCGGUUUUAUUUUGUUACCCCUGUUUGUCCGUCUUGAUUUACUUCCUGUUUUAUUUUGUUACCCGUGUUUGUCACUCCUAUCUUAUUUCCUGUUUUAUUUUGUAGCCGCGCUUGUCUCACACAUAAGCUACUUCCUGUUAGCUCACCUCCGUCUCAUCACGGGUGGUUGUGGACACCUGUGUCUCCUCUGUUUGUCCUCUUGUUUUCAGCGUCCGUCCCUUGUUUUCUUCGUGUUUCUCCAGUUUUAUCGUGGAUGUGACGUCAUCACUCGAGAGAGAAGCUCAAAUCAACUUCACCUCAGUUUCAUGAAGGUCAGGUGAAAUCACACAGCAGAAAUAAAUGUGUCACCUUUUUUCUGCUGCUCACUGUUAAUUCAAUUAUUCACCAAGUGACGGCAUCAUCGCCUUCAUCACCUGAGGAGGAGGAUGAAGACGCUGCUCUGGUUUAUUCCCUGAAGAGCUGCGUGGGACAGCUUGACUCUACAUCCAUGACUUCAUCGUGUCUCCUGUCCACAUCUGGAUCACCAAUCUACAGAACAGACCAUAAUGGCUCAGCUGUAACAGAAAAUGAGGUCGAACAUGAAUCUUCUCAUCAGCUGCAACCUUGACCCCGCCCACCAUCUUGUAACCAAUCACCUCAACGGCCUUGCAUACAUGGUCAUCAUGAGGCCCCACCCCCGUCACUCCUUACACAUACAAAUCAAACACACCCACUUGCUCUGACAGUGUUUUCCUUGAGUUCCUCUGCUGCUGGCUUUGACCUCUGGACAUGUUCUCUCUCCUCUGCACUGGACAAAUAACAGACUUUGUUAUUAGACAUUAUCUUAAUAAUUACACACAUUUUUUUUAACUUAUUAUCCAACAUAUGAUUCUAGUGAAUGACUCAAUGGAACCCUGGUGUUUUUGUGGGUCACUUCAGGUUCUUUGAAAGGAACAUUUUCUUUCCAAAUGUAUUUAAAAUACUGGGGAAAAUAAGGAAAUGACGUAAAAAAAACUCAGUGUCUUACCCUUCUGUCUCAGCUGUCCUUCACUCAUCAAAGAGACUCUACAGAACCUUCCAGAAGGUUAGACAGUGUCUAGAUGAAGAAAACCAGAAAAACAUAAUCAGUUUCUGUUGUUCAUAUGCUGGUGUUAACGUCAGCCUCUGCUUGUAUAUGAAAUAAAUGUAUGUUUGAAAGAA